ACAGUUUCUGUCACCCAGGCUGGAGUACAGUGGCACGAUCACAGCUCACUGCACCCUCAACUUCCCAGGCUCAGGUGAUUCUCCUGCAUCAGCCUCCCGAGUAGCUGGGACUACAGGUAUGCACAGGCUGCUCUCUAACUCCUGGGCUCAACUGAUCUACCCACCUCAGCCUCUCAAAGUGUUGGGAAUACAGACAGAAGCCACUGCGCCUAUCCUGUAAUGCCACUUUCUUUCAUGAAAACAAGGGCGGCAGAUAGAAGAUGUCUGGAAAUUCUUUGCUGUUUCUCCCAUUGAGAGGUGUGGACACAUUGAGAAGUCACUAUCUAUGAACUAGGAAGCAGGAUCUCACCAGACAUCGAAUCUGCUGAUGCCUUCAUCUUGGACUUCUCUCUCAGCCUCCAGAACUGUGAGAAAUAAAGUCCUGUUGUUUAUAAGCCACUCAGUCUAUGGUAUUUUAUUACAGCAAACCGAAUGGGCAAAGACAUGGGUGAAGUUAUCCAGGACCCUCCAAACCAGGCCAUUCACCUUCACCAGCUAAAUUCCACUGAGUGACCCCAGUCAGUGCACAUGGA
rnacentral:lncRNA from 1 species